GGGGCUCAUUCGGCUGUGCAGUCAUCCGCAUGGCAAAUAUUUAUUAGCAGGUCCCGAGGCGCUGGGUAACCUGAUCACGGCGGAAAGAGCCGCGACGCGGAAGUCUUCCGAUUGGUUUCCAGUUCCAGGAAGUUGCAGACUUCGGGCAAAUCGCGUCGCCUCUGGGACUGUUUCUAAUCAGAAGAAUGAAAGAAAAGGCCGAACCAACCCUUCAGGCACUUGUUGGGUUUGUCCAGAUUUACCUGACCUGCUUCCAAUGUUUGGCACAGAGUGUACAACGUCUUAAGAUGUCCAAAGUGCUUGUGGGUAACCAAGUGAUGUACUAAGAAGCCCCAUUCAAUGAGGUAGAAGGGAAUGAUGGGCACAUUGUUAUUGGGCUCCCCCCGCCUGUUUUUUUUUUUUUUCCGUUUUAGUUUCCAUGUACGUAUUCUCAACUUUUCAAAUAGAUUUUUAAAAACUUUAUUGAGCUAUCAUUGACAGUCAACAAAUUUCACAUACUGAAAGUGUGCAAUUUUGGUAAGUUUUGACACAUGUAUAUGCCUGUGAAACUAUCACACAAUCCAGAUGAUGAAUAUGUCCUUCCAAAGUUUCCUUGUGCCUCUUUAUCAUCCCAUCUACUCAGUGGACCCUGUCUCCAAGCAACAACCCAUUUGUCUUCUGUCACU